CCUACGGGUGACAGCAGUGAGGAAUAUUGGUCAAUGGGCGCGAGCCUGAACCAGCCAAGUCGCGUGAGGGAAGACGGUCCUAUGGAUUGUAAACCUCUUUUGUCGGGGAGCAAAAGACGCCACGCGUGGCGUUCCGAGAGUACCCGAAGAAAAAGCAUCGGCUAACUCCGUGCCAGCAGCCGCGGUAAUACGGAGGAUGCGAGCGUUAUCCGGAUUUAUUGGGUUUAAGGGGUGCGCUGGCGGAAGAUCAAGUCAGCGGUAAAAUUGAGAGGCUCAACCUCUUCGAGCCGUUGAAACUGGUUGUCUUGAGUGAACGAGAGGUAUGCGGAAUGCGUGGUGUAGCGGUGAAAUGCAUAGAUAUCACGCAGAACUCCGAUUGCGAAGGCAGCAUACCGGCGCGCAACUGACGCUGAUGCACGAAAGUGUGGGUAUCGAACAGGAUUAGAUACCCUAGUAGUC
rnacentral:rRNA from 1 species